UUAAAUGUAAUUAUGUGAUAAAGGAAGGGGCAAAUAUGUAAUAAGUGAGGAGUCAUUUUUCUAUAAAAGGACCCCUCACCCUCACAAUUAGGGAGGCCAACUCUUAGGCCUAAAGCCCCCCUCACCCUCUCACAUCUCCUCUCACAUUACAGAGGUUUCUCUCCCUCACAAUCCUCUCAUAAAUACAUAAGCAGUGUGGACGUAGCCCAAAGUUUAGGGUGAACUACGAUACAUCUUGUGUUAUUUACAUUAUUUGCAGAUUCACGGUCGGAUUUACAUUGUACCAAGACCUCCGGUUUUGUGCAUCAACAUUUGACGUCUGUGGGAAUCGAUACGAAAAGUUGUGUCGGUUCUCUUUCAUUUUUUUUACCUCCACUAUGAAUCUGCAAAAUCACAAAAAACCAAGAACACCACUCUCUCUCUCUAAAAAUCCUGAGAUACCCAGAAAAGCCCAUAUCUCUAUUUUGAAGAAAAAGAAAACAACAGUGACAAAGGCAACAUCCAAAUUGCAAUUACCGAAUCAAAAGCAACAUCCGAC
rnacentral:lncRNA from 1 species